rnacentral:rRNA from 1 species
UACGUAGGGGGCAAGCGUUGUCCGGAAUCAUUGGGCGUAAAGAGCGUGUAGGCGGCUCGGUAAGUCCGCUGUGAAAGUCCAGGGCUCAACCCUGGAAUGCCGGUGGAAACUGGUCGGGCUAGAGUCCGGGAAGAGGCGAGUGGAAUCCUGGUGAGCGGGUGAAAUGCGCAGAUAUCAGGAGGAACACCAAUGGCGGAAGGCAGCUCGCUGGGACGGUA